rnacentral:lncRNA from 1 species
AAAAACGAUACUUUGUUUAAAAUCAACAAAAAACCCCCAAUACACGAUAACUACAAUUGUUGAUACUACAGCAUAUUACGAAGACAACACACAAACUCCGACAAACACAGAAACUCGAUAAUCAAAAUCAAUACAAACCCCUAAAAUCCACUUCAAAAAAAAAUCGAUAUUGUGAAAAUAAAAAAAAAACUCAAAAAUAAAAUUGUACUAGGAAAUCGAGAUUAAAGCGUUUUACAUGAUUCGGGAAACUCCAAGUCCCUUAUUGUCCAGACGGGGACUUAGACGACUAGGUUCUCGGAGGGGUUCGUCCGGUGAUACUUCUUCGCGCGGG